ACCCUUCAUUAGUUAGUAUUGGAAUUAGUGAUUAAUUAAUAUUUAGUUAUUUUAAUCAUAAAUUUGACAUUAAUUAAUAAGGGUAAAAAUGGAAAACUAGGUUCAAUUUAUGUCUUAAUCUACUUUUCUUAAAGGGUGUGAAACACCUCAAAAAUUAACUUAAUAUGGAAUGGAGGGAGUAACUUGUUUAAUUCACUUCAAUUUGAAUCAACCAUGUUUUAAUAUUGGCUUUGGAAGAUUGUCUUCAAUUCUUCGACAUGUUUUAUUAAACAUUUCCAACUCAAACUAAUUAGAUUAUCAAAU
rnacentral:lncRNA from 1 species